UACAGGGGGUGCAAGCGUUGCUCGGAAUUAUUGGGCGUAAAGCGCGCGUAGGCGGCCGCUUAAGUCGGAUGUGAAAGCCCCUGGCUCAACUGGGGAAGUGCACCCGAAACUGAGUGGCUUGAGUACUAAAGAGGGUCGCGGAAUUCCCGGUGUAGAGGUGAAAUGCGCAGAUAUCGGGAGGAACACCGGUGGCGAAGGCGGUUCUCUGGGCCUUACCUGACGCUGAGGAGCGAAAGCGUGGGGAGCGAACAGG
rnacentral:rRNA from 1 species